CGGCGAGACUUGGGCUGGCGCGGGCGGGAGCUGCCACGGAAGCCCUUACCUGCUGGGGAGACCCUACUCUCUUCGCUGAGAGCGGCCGCUGGCGGGGACUGAAGGCCGGGAGCCCACCCCCGGCUCGGGGCUAGCGUGCGUCCCUAGAGUCGAGCGGGGCAAGGGAGCCGGUGGCCGCCAAGGGGGGACCGGGAAACUUUUCUGGGUUCCUGGGCGCGCCCUGUAGCCGCGCUCCAUGCUCCACCCGCGGCCCGAACCCCAGCCCCGCCGCUGACGGCGCCCGCCGCUCCGGGCAGGGCCCAUGCCCUGCGCACUCCGGGGGUCGUAGGCUGCCGCCGAGCCGGGGCUCCGGAAGCCGGCGGGGGCGCCGCGGCCGUGCGGGGCGUCAAUGGAUCGCCACUCCAGCUACAUCUUCAUCUGGCUGCAGCUGGAGCUCUGCGCCAUGGCCGUGCUGCUCACCAAAGGUGAAAUUCGAUGCUACUGUGAUGCGGCCCACUGUGUAGCCACUGGUUAUAUGUGUAAAUCUGAGCUCAGCGCCUGCUUCUCUAGACUUCUUGAUCCUCAGAACUCAAAUUCCCCACUCACCCAUGGCUGCCUGGACUCUCUUGCAAGCACGACAGACAUCUGCCAAGCCAAACAGGCCCGAAACCACUCCGGCACCACCAUGCCCACAUUGGAAUGCUGUCAUGAAGACAUGUGCAAUUACAGAGGGCUGCACGAUGUUCUCUCUCCUCCCAGGGGUGAGGCCUCAGGUAGGUGGAAGCCGUUUCUAACCAGAAUGCCUGCCUGAUCUACAGACUUGUGACAGCCACGACUUUGUAUGUCUGCUAUUGAUUUUGUUGUUAAUGUAAUUAGAGACACCAGAGGGAGAAGCCUGGCGGGAUGCAAAGAUGCAUCUUGAUUGAGUGGCUUUUAUGUCUGUCUGAGCAGUAGAUGUCUGUCUACAUAAUAGGUUUUGCCUGUUUUUUCAACAUUUUGAAGACAUUAAAAGGCCAUUACGUCUCAGUAAUGACAGUCUGUAAACAAAUGCGUUUGUAAGCUUCUUUAGAUAGUUUUGCAAUAUUUUCUAAAUAUCGUUGAUUUAAUUGUAAGCUGCUUUUUAAUGGAAUUCUUGGUUAAAAUGAAUUGAUGAUUAUGAAUAUCCCUAGGAGGAGUUAGCAUGCAGUUUGAUCAUUUUCUUUGUACUCCUUUAGGACAAGGAAACAGGUAUCAGCAUGAUGGUAGCAGAAACCUUAUCACCAAGGUGCAGGAGCUGACUUCUUCCAAAGAGUUGUGGUUCCGGGCGGCGGUCAUUGCCGUGCCCAUUGCUGGAGGGCUGAUUUUAGUGUUGCUUAUUAUGUUGGCCCUGAGGAUGCUUCGAAGUGAAAACAAGAGGCUGCAGGAUCAGCGGCAACAGAUGCUCUCCCGUUUGCACUACAGCUUUCACGGACACCAUUCCAAAAAGGGGCAGGUUGCAAAGUUAGACUUGGAAUGCAUGGUGCCGGUCAGUGGGCACGAGAACUGCUGUCUGACCUGUGAUAAAAUGAGACAAGCAGACCUCAGCAACGAUAAGAUCCUCUCGCUUGUUCACUGGGGCAUGUACAGUGGGCACGGGAAGCUGGAAUUCGUAUGACGGAGUCUUAUCUGAACUACACUUAUUGAACGCUUGAAGGCCUUUUGAGUUCUGCUGGACAGGAGCACUUUAUCUGAAGACAAACUCAUUUAAUCAUCUUUGAGAGACAAAAUGACCUCUGCAAACAGAAUCUUGGAUAUUUCUUCUGAAGGAUUAUUUGCACAGACUUAAAUAUAGUUAAAUGUGUUGUUUGGUUUAAAAUCAUAAAAAGCAAAGAGAAGACUUUGUACACACUGUCACCAGGGUUAUUUGCAUCCAAGGGAGCUGGAAUUGA
rnacentral:sRNA from 1 species